rnacentral:rRNA from 1 species
CCUACGGGUGGCAGCAGUGGGGAAUAUUGCGCAAUGGAGGCAACUCUGACCCAGCAACGCCGCGUGAGUGAAGAAGUAUUUCGGUAUGUAAAGCUCUAUCAGCAGGGAAGAAGAAAGACGGUACCUGACUAACAAGCCCCGGCUAACUACGUGCCAGCAGCCGCGGUAAUACGUAGGGGGCAAGCGUUAUCCGGAUUUACUGGGUGUAAAGGGAGCGUAGACGGCUGUGCAAGUCUGAAGUGAAAGCCCGUGGCUCAACCGCGGAAGUGCAUUGGAAACUGUAUAGCUUGAGUACUGGAGAGGAAGGCGGAAUUCCUAGUGUAGCGGUGAAAUGCGCAGAUAUUAGGAGGAACACCAGUGGCGAAGGCGACUUGCUGGACAGAAACUGACGUUGAGGCUCGAAAGCGUGGGGAGCAAACAGGAUUAGAUACCCCGGUAGUC